CAGGGUGGAGCCACGAGAAGUUUGCACAAUUUGCAGUGGGGAGGAGCCUGGCCUCUCCUGUUCCUGGUUGGGGACCUGGGAUUCAGUCUGUGAGGUGCAGAGCCUGUUAGCAGGACUCCAUCUCACUUUGCUGAAUUGUUUUUCCUUUUUCCUUUUUGCCCAAUAAAUUCUGCUCCUCACCCUUCUAGGUGUCCGCGAGCCUGAUCUUUCUCGGUUGUGUGACAAGAACCUGACUUUUCCUGCAGCACAAGGGUGCUCCAAGCCUGAACAUUGAGCACGACCCAGGUCAUAUGCACAACACGACAGGUUGAGCGUCCAUGUGUGGCUACUGGGUUUGCUGGGGACACCUCUUGCCUGCCAGGGUGAGCACACGCAGCAGUGAGCAGCCCCGUGUGACCCCACGGGAUGAGGAUGCCAUGAUGUCAGCAUCCCUUCUGACUUGGAGGUAUGUGACAUUCAUGGUGCCAAUGCCACUGUCACCUUGCAGAUCAGUCUGGGUUUGCUUCAGACAGAAGAUCCUGGAAUAUGUUCAAGCAUUACUCAUCUCCAGACU
rnacentral:lncRNA from 1 species